rnacentral:rRNA from 1 species
GACGAACGCUGGCGGCGUGCCUAACACAUGCAAGUCGAGCGGACAGAAGGGAGCUUGCUCCCGGAAGUUAGCGGCGGACGGGUGAGUAACACGUGGGCAACCUACCCUGUAGAUCGGGAUAACAUCGAGAAAUCGGUGCUAAUACCGGAUAAUCAUUUGAAGUGCAUGCUUCGAAUGUAAAAGAUGGCUCCGGCUAUCACUACGGGAUGGGCCCGCGGCGCAUUAGCUAGUUGGUAAGGUAAUGGCUUACCAAGGCAACGAUGCGUAGCCGACCUGAGAGGGUGAUCGGCCACACUGGGACUGAGACACGGCCCAGACUCCUACGGGAGGCAGCAGUAGGGAAUCUUCCGCAAUGGACGAAAGUCUGACGGAGCAACGCCGCGUGAGUGAUGAAGGUUUUCGGAUCGUAAAGCUCUGUUGUUAGGGAAGAACAAGUGCCGUUUGAAUAAGGCGGCACCUUGACGGUACCUACCAGAAAGCCACGGCUAACUACGUGCCAGCCGCCGCCGUAAGAC